UCCCUGGUGGCCCAGUGGUUAGGAUUCUGGGCUUUCCCUGCCACGGUCCAGGUUCAAUCCCUGGUCAGGGAA
rnacentral:tRNA from 1 species